UAUAUAAGAGGGUACAAACCGACUUGGGUAGGGAUACAAAACUGACUUGGACUAGAAGUCGUAGACUACUCUAACACUGUUUCACCUCGCACGGCCACGCAAACGCCUAUUCACCUCCACCCAUUUCCCCUACUGCCUUAUCUGCUCGCCACCGAAUUCGAAGGAGAGGUGGCCGGCGUUGGGCAUGCGGGGACAAAGGCGAACGCCGUCCAGCAGUCAGAGCGAUGCGCGGGUGGCGCGCGAGUGCAGUGGUGAGGCUGCGGAAGGGCGGCGACCGACAACACCAGGCUGCGGCCCUGCGGAGGGGGGGCGUCCGGCGGGUACCAGGCUGCAGCCCUUGCGGGUGGGAGAGUGCGUCCAAUGCGUGCCGGUGUAGAAGCCUCGAUGUCAUCCUUUUCUAAUGGGCUCGCUAGAUGGAGGUCCGGUCACGGGAGCGACGCGGAUUGCGCACGGGCGCGGAGGCGAUGGCCAUGGCUUCUCUGUUUUGAUUCGUUGCCGCGUCGUGGAUGAGGCCAUCAAAGAACCAUUAAGGGAGGCGAAGGGCGAAGAGGAGCCUGCAACACAUGUGCUGGUAGUGGUGGAGGAAGCCCCAACAUCGGUGGCCAUCUGCUUUGUUUUUAUCGUCGCGUCGGCGGAUGAGGGUGUCGAGGUGCAACUUCGGGAGGCAGAGGUCGACGAGGAGCCGCUGAUGCAGGUGUUCUACUAGCAGAGGAGGCCUUCGCGCAACUCGUCUAGCCGCCGUAGCCCCACCAAUGCGUCUGCUCGCUGCCGCCACUGUCCCUCGACAAAUCUAGCAACCUACAUCGGCGCGAGGUUAUCUUCAAGGCCACCAGCUGGAUCCAUACGUGGUCAUUACUACGUAAGGAGGAGGAUCGGGCGCCUACGGUCUUUGGGUGCAACCGAUGAGAAAUGGUCCCUCAGGAUUUGUUUAGCCGAUUUGGCUGGCGGCCUACUAGGAGGAUUUGUGAUGCAUGAGACCCAUUUUCCUACGAUAUUCUAUUUUUUUUUUAAUUUGCCCUUAGGGCA